AGCAGCCGCGGUAAUUCCAGCUCCAAUAGCGUAUAUUAAAGUUGCUGCAGUUAAAAGCUCGUAGUUGAAUUUCGGGACCAUCAUGUUGGUCGUGCCUCGGUACGUACUGGUAUUGUUGGUUUCUCCCUUCUGACGAACCAUGAUGUCAUUUAUUUGGUGUUGUGGGGAAUCAGGACUGUUACUUUGAAAAAUUGAGUGUUUAAAGCAGGCUCACGCUUGAAUACAUUAGCAUGGAAUAAUGAAAUAGGACGUUUGAUUCUAUUUUGUUGGUUUCUAGGAUCGACGUAAUGAUUAAUAGGGAUAGUUGGGGGCAUUAGUAUUCA
rnacentral:rRNA from 1 species